ensembl:lncRNA
GCUGCAGUAUGAUGGCUAAUAGAGGGCAGGUGUUCUCUCCUGCCUGAGUUCCCUCUGGGCUCACCAGCUCACCGCUGCAAUUGCUGAUGACUGUGAUGUCCUCUGUUUACUGACCUGGCAGGAAAUGUUCCAUUUCUCACAGGAAAAAGGGAUCUUGAUAUAAACGAUCUUCUGAAAGGAAAACGAAGACACCAACGAAGGCGUGAGUCCGAGGGCUGUUUUACCUCCUACCACUUUGGUUUGCUGUCAUCAAGAGGACAUUGUGCAGAGCAGCCAUAACGCAGGCUAAGGAUUCAAUUAUUUCACAGUCUAGGCGAUUUCAGGCAAAUCCACUUUUAAUCAGAACUACAGUUCCAUGAGAGUCACAGGAAAAGCAGACGUCUCACAGCAGAAAAAUGCAAGUUGGAGGGCAGUGUAAUUGGAGCUUCUGGGUGAUUCUGCUUGCAAUCUCUGAAAACUUGGGGCCUCUUCAAACCAUUGUUUGUCCUCAACUAAUCAUGCUUGUGAGACCAGACCAUGGCUGUAUUUAGUCCUUUAAUAUUUCCUCAAGUAUUUAAUGAAUGAUACGGGCCAACAAUUUUCCUUCAGAGCUCAGCCAGGGCCCUCAUGAGAUUAUGGAAAAGUUUGGACAUGCUCUCCCGUGGGUCAGCUGACUGAUGUCCAAAUAAAAACCAAAGGAUGGGCUCAUGUUUACAGGUUAAAGAAAAUCUUAGGUAUUAAGCUGAUGUAUCUUUAUAAAUUUUAGUGAAAAAUGAAUUCCUGCCUCAUUGCAAAGUUUAUUUACACAUUCAUAUAGCAACAAGGCUAAGCAUAAACUAUAUUCAACAAGUAACAGUAACAAAGAAAAUAUACCUCCUUGGAGGUCUUCCAGGUAAUGAGGACUCUGGUUACACCUGCUACUCAGAGUGUCUGCCUCUUUGUCAUCCUGUGGUAAAAAGGUCAAAAGUAUGUGGCCAUGUGCCAGGGGCCACCCUUUAAAAACAAGGCAAACUCCUGGAAUAUGCCUCAGUUUAACAGCAAAAAUGUCAUUGUAGUGAGUUGCAAUGCAAGAAGGACAUGGGGUUUAAGACAAAGCUCUGAGACUUCACAUGUCAAUGUGAAAUUUCCAAGUAUGCACCUGGUAUCCUCGGUGAUUUUGGACCCUCUGGUGGAAAGUGCAGAGAUUCAGUGUCUAAGGCACUCAAGGAGAGCCAGACUUAGAGAAUCUAGGUUCUAAUCAAGACUCAUCAUUUGACCUUGGAUGAGUCACGUGCCCACUGAGUGAGCCUUAGUUUCUUUUUCUGAUUAAGAGAAAGUAAGACGGCAUGAUCUCUAUGAUCACUAGGGUUCCUGUCAGUUCUAGAAGCCUUAUGGUUCUUAUUUAUGGUUUAGAGCUUUGACUAAUUUGCCUAAUUUUGCCUGAUCUAUCAUUUCUACAGGAUCCUAUCUGUUUACUCAGUGUGGAGGUUUCACAUCUCUGAAAUAUCCCUUGGAGAUCCCAAGUCGCUCAGUCGUGUCCGACUCUUUGCAAGUCCAUGGACUGUAGCCUACCAGGCUCCAUCCAUGAGAUUUUCCAGGCAAGAAUACUGGAGUGGGUUGCCAUUUCCUUCUCCAGAGGAUCUUCACGACCCAGGGAUCGAACCCGGGUCUCCCGCAUUGUGGGCAGACGCUUUACCGUCUGAGCCACCAGGGAAG